rnacentral:rRNA from 1 species
AACAGGAUUAGAUACCCUGGUAGUCCACACAGUAAACGAUGAAUACUCGCUGUUUGCGAUAUACAGUAAGCGGCCAAGCGAAAGCAUUAAGUAUUCCACCUGGGGAGUACGCCGGCAACGGUGAAACUCAAAGGAAUUGACGGGGGCCCGCACAAGCGGAGGAACAUGUGGUUUAAUUCGAUGAUACGCGAGGAACCUUACCCGGGCUUGAAAUGUAGACGAAUAACUCAGAGACGAGUUAGCCAGCAAUGGCGUCUAUGUAGGUGCUGCAUGGUUGUCGUCAGCUCGUGCCGUGAGGUGUCGGCUUAAGUGCCAUAACGAGCGCAACCCUUAUCAUUAGUUACUAACAGUUUAUGCUGAGGACUCUAAUGAGACUGCCGUCGUAAGAUGUGAGGAAGGUGGGGAUGACGUCAAAUCAGCACGGCCCUUACGUCCGGGGCUACACACGUGUUACAAUGGGUAGUACAGAAAGUUGCUUGCUGGUGACAGUUGGCUAAUCUCCAAAACUACUCUCAGUUCGGAUCGAAGUCUGCAACCCGACUUCGUGAAGCUGGAUUCGCUAGUAAUCGCGCAUCAGCCACGGCGCGGUGAAUACGUUCCCGGGCCUUGUACACACCGCCCGUCAAGCCAUGGGAGCCGGGGGUACCUGAAGUACGUCACCGCAAGGAUCGUCCUAGGGUAAAACUGGUGACUGGGGCUAAGUCGUAACAAGGUAACC